rnacentral:rRNA from 1 species
AAAUUGAAGAGUUUGAUCAUGGAUCAGAUUGAACGCUGGCGGCAGGCCUAACACAUGCAAGGCGAACGGUAACAGGAAGCAGCUUGCUGCUUUGCUGACGAGUGGCGGACGGGUGAGUAAUGUCUGGGAAACUGCCUGAUGGAGGGGGAUAACUACUGGAAACGGUAGCUAAUACCGCAUAACGUCGCAAGACCAAAGAGGGG